rnacentral:rRNA from 1 species
AAAUUGAAGAGUUUGAUCAUGGCUCAGAUUGAACGCUGGCGGCAGGCCUAACACAUGCAAGUCGAGCGGUAACACAGAGAGCUUGCUCUCGGGUGACGAGCGGCGGACGGGUGAGUAAUGUCUGGGAAACUGCCUGAUGGAGGGGGAUAACUACUGGAAACGGUAGCUAAUACCGCAUAACGUCGCAAGACCAAAGUGGGGGACCUUCGGGCCUCAUGCCAUCAGAUGUGCCCAGAUGGGAUUAGCUAGUAGGUGGGGUAAUGGCUCACCUAGGCGACGAUCCCUAGCUGGUCUGAGAGGAUGACCAGCCACACUGGAACUGAGACACGGUCCAGACUCCUACGGGAGGCAGCAGUGGGGAAUAUUGCACAAUGGGCGCAAGCCUGAUGCAGCCAUGCCGCGUGUAUGAAGAAGGCCUUCGGGUUGUAAAGUACUUUCAGCGAGGAGGAAGGCGUUAAGGUUAAUAACCUUGGCGAUUGACGUUACUCGCAGAAGAAGCACCGGCUAACUCCGUGCCAGCAGCCGCGGUAAUACGGAGGGUGCAAGCGUUAAUCGGAAUUACUGGGCGUAAAGCGCACGCAGGCGGUCUGUCAAGUCGGAUGUGAAAUCCCCGGGCUCAACCUGGGAACUGCAUUCGAAACUGGCAGGCUAGAGUCUUGUAGAGGGGGUAGAAUUCCAGGUGUAGCGGUGAAAUGCGUAGAGAUCUGGAGGAAUACCGGUGGCGAAGGCGGCCCCUGGACAAAGACUGACGCUCAGGUGCGAAAGCGUGGGGAGCAAACAGGAUUAGAUACCCUGGUAGUCCACGCCGUAAACGAUGUCGACUUGGAGGUUGUGCCCUUGAGGCGUGGCUUCCGGAGCUAACGCGUUAAGUCGACCGCCUGGGGAGUACGGCCGCAAGGUUAAAACUCAAAUGAAUUGACGGGGGCCCGCACAAGCGGUGGAGCAUGUGGUUUAAUUCGAUGCAACGCGAAGAACCUUACCUACUCUUGACAUCCAGAGAACUUAGCAGAGAUGCUUUGGUGCCUUCGGGAACUCUGAGACAGGUGCUGCAUGGCUGUCGUCAGCUCGUGUUGUGAAAUGUUGGGUUAAGUCCCGCAACGAGCGCAACCCUUAUCCUUUGUUGCCAGCGGUCCGGCCGGGAACUCAAAGGAGACUGCCAGUGAUAAACUGGAGGAAGGUGGGGAUGACGUCAAGUCAUCAUGGCCCUUACGAGUAGGGCUACACACGUGCUACAAUGGCAUAUACAAAGAGAAGCGACCUCGCGAGAGCAAGCGGACCUCAUAAAGUAUGUCGUAGUCCGGAUUGGAGUCUGCAACUCGACUCCAUGAAGUCGGAAUCGCUAGUAAUCGUAGAUCAGAAUGCUACGGUGAAUACGUUCCCGGGCCUUGUACACACCGCCCGUCACACCAUGGGAGUGGGUUGCAAAAGAAGUAGGUAGCUUAACCUUCGGGAGGGCGCUUACCACUUUGUGAUUCAUGACUGGGGUGAAGUCGUAACAAGGUAACCGUAGGGGAACCUGCGGUUGGAUCACCUCCUUACCUUAAAGAA